UUAAUUGAAACCAAAAAGAGGUUUGUCACUGUUAAUGACAAAAUUGAAAUUAAUUUCCAAUUAAA
rnacentral:tRNA from 1 species